ensembl:lncRNA
UGACUGACUGACUGGGGGGGUUCUGGAUACAGACUAGUGACUGACUGAAGGGGGGGUUCUGGAUACAGACUAGUGACUGACUGAUGGGGGGGUUCUGGAUACAGACUAGUGACUGACUGAAGGGGGGGGGGUUCUGGAUACAGACUAGUGACUGACUAAAUGGGGGUUCUGGAUACAGACUAGUGACUGACUGAAGGGGGGGGUUCUGGAUACAGACUAGUGACUGACUGAAGGGGGGGUUCUGGAUACAGACUAGUGACUGACUGAAGGGGGGGGUGGUUCUGGAUACAGACUAGUGUGACUGACUAAAUGGGGGUUCUGGAUACAGACUAGUGACUGACUGAAUGGGGGGGGGGGUUCUGGAUACAGACUAGUGACUGACUAAAUGGGGGUUCUGGAUACAGACUAGUGACUGACUGAAGGGGGG